UACGUAGGGGGCUAGCGUUGUCCGGAAUCAUUGGGCGUAAAGCGCGUGUAGGCGGCCCGGUAAGUCCGCUGUGAAAGUCGGGGGCUCAACCCUCGGAUGCCGGUGGAUACUGUCGGGCUUGAGUGCGGAAGAGGCGAGUGGAAUUCCUGGUGUAGCGGUGAAAUGCGCAGAUAUCAGGAGGAACACCAAUUGCGAAGGCAGCUCGCUGGGACGUUACUGACGCUGAGACGCGAAAGCGUGGGGAGCGAACAGG
rnacentral:rRNA from 1 species